rnacentral:rRNA from 1 species
UCCACCUGUUUUUACAAAAACAUCUCUUUAUGAAUAAAAUAUAAAGUUUAACCUGCCCACUGAAUAUUAAAUGGCUGCAGUAUAUUGACUGUACAAAGGUAGCAUAAUAAUUAGUUUUUUAAUUGAAAACUGGAAUGAAUGGUUGGAUGAAAUAUAAACUGUUUUAAUUAAGAUUAAUUUGAAUUUUAUUUUUUAGUAAAAAAGCUAAAAUUUAUUUAAAAGACGAGAAGACCCUAUAAAUCUUUAUAUAAAAAUUUUAAUUUUAAUUAUUUAGAUGAUUUAAUUAAUUAAUAUUUUUAUAUUUUAUUGGGGAGAUAGUAAAAUUUAAUAAACUUUUAUUUGUGAUUUCAUUAAUUUAUGAAUUGUUGAUUAAUUUUUAAUGCAUAAUAAAAUAAGUUACUUUAGGGAUAACAGCGUAAUUAUUUUGGAGAGUUCAUAUUGAUAAAAAUAGAUGCA